UCAUCCUAAUCAAGAGUCAACUCAAGAUUUCUGUUGUUAACCUUAUGAUUGAUUUUGAUGAUUGUCAAAUUUUGAGUAAUUAUAAAUCUAAUCAUGUGUUUCAAGAAUGAAAAUAGAUCUUUUCAAAUGUUCAAAUUAAAGAAAUAACCCAUGAAAAAGAUCUCCUCAAAAAAAACUAGGUCAAGGACUUUAAAGGAGAAUUUUCAAGUUUUAGACCUAGUGAAGUCAACCCC
rnacentral:lncRNA from 1 species